rnacentral:lncRNA from 1 species
CUCCAGGCAGCCAGCUCCGUAACCUGAUUCAGAUGAAUUAAGAGCAUUAACUCAACUCAACAAGCAUUUGUUGAUUACAUGCUAUAAUCAUGGCACAAAGUAUUCAUCAAAUAACAUUCAGCUCAGCUGAUGAGUUCACCUGAGCAAUGGUGAAAGUCGAUCCAGACACGGAGUUUCUCUCUUGCACUAGGGAGCCUUCCAGCACCUGUGCAUAAGCUUCAGUCAGCCUGCUGGACGAUGAAUCCACGUGGAGAGAGGCCCAGCAAGCCCAGCUGAACCAGUUGAGGCUGCAGACAUGUAAGAGAGGCCACUUGAGAACAUCUGAGCCCAGCCUAGAAUAUAAAGACUGCCCAGGUGAAAUUCUGGAGCACCGUCAAGAAAGAUUUUGAUCAUUUGCCAAAAUCUUGAGUAACUCCUGCG